UAAUACGUAGGGCGCAAGCGUUAUCCGGAAUUAUUGGGCGUAAAGAGCUCGUAGGCGGUUUGUCGCGUCUGCUGUGAAAGACCGGGGCUCAACUCCGGUUCUGCAGUGGGUACGGGCAGACUAGAGUGCAGUAGGGGAGACUGGAAUUCCUGGUGUAGCGGUGAAAUGCGCAGAUAUCAGGAGGAACACCGAUGGCGAAGGCAGGUCUCUGGGCUGUAACUGACGCUGAGGAGCGAAAGCAUGGGGAGCGAACAGGAUUAGAUACCCUGGUAGUCCAUGCCGUAAACGUUGGGCACUAGGUGUGGGGGACAUUCCACGUUUUCCGCGCCGUAGCUAACGCAUUAAGUGCCCCGCCUGGGGAGUACGGCCGCAAGGCUAAAACUCAAAGGAAUUGACGGGGGCCCGCACAAGCGGCGGAGCAUGCGGAUUAAUUCGAUGCAACGCGAAGAACCUUACCAAGGCUUGACAUGAACCGGAAAGACCUGGAAACAGGUGCCCCGCUUGCGGUCGGUUUAC
rnacentral:rRNA from 1 species